UACAGAGGGUGCGAGCGUUAAUCGGAAUUACUGGGCGUAAAGGGCGCGUAGGCGGCUAAGUAAGUUAGAUGUGAAAUCCCUGGGCUUAACCUCGGAAUUGCAUUUAAUACUGUUUAGCUAGAGUAAAGUAGAGGGAAGUGGAAUUUCCGGUGUAGCGGUGAAAUGCGUAGAUAUCGGAAAGAACAUCAGUGGCGAAGGCGGCUUUCUGGACUUAUACUGACGCUGAGGCGCGAAAGCAUGGGUAGCAAACAGG
rnacentral:rRNA from 1 species